GUAACAUGCAAGGGAGGAGCCUGGCUUUCCACUUUUUCACAUGGGCUGGAGUCUGCUUCUGAAAGUGUGGAAUGCAUAGAAUGGAGGGCUCUGCCUUUGAUUUUUCCACUGAGCCAGAAACAAGUGUGCAUACACAAGGACCUUGUUGUAUGGUCAAAGGUUUGAAGAGCUACCAGGAGUCCAAAGCAUACACUGCUGUGGCCAAGCUGGUGAGAUGCCACCAAGGAGCAACCUAUGGGAUCCAGGCCAGCAGGGAAUUGACCUGGCUACUGAGAAGCUGUAUCCCGCAAGCAAGGCAGUGAAUUCAUUAACCAGGUUCUUGCCAUGGGACCACCUUACACAGGGGGAAACUGCCUCCUAACAAGGACCUCUCAUUUAGGAAUGAAGCCCCCGGGCAUAGAAGACAGAUCCAUCUUAAGCAGAAUUCUGACUGA